AUUUGUGAAAAGGGUUUCCGUCCCUGUGGUAUUUGUAUGGCUUGAAAUCGUUUCAUUGCUUUGAAUAUGUAUGCACACAUUUGGCAAAACAAAACUAGUAGAAUUUAGUAUCUUUAAAAUUAAAAAAAAAAAAAAAGUGACACCAAGGCUCCGAAUUCCAGAAGGGAAAGGUCAAAGAGAAAACCACCGAGUCAAGGGACCUCAAGUAGAUGUAAAUUCAAGAUUAUUUUGCGAACCUUUGAUCUGUGGCAAAGAAACGUCACAACGAUCAGUCUUGCAACAUAGGACACAAACUUGAGGCAACGGUUUUCAAAACAAGGCGAAACGGAAAAGCCAACCCUUGAAUUCACUGCUCACACUUCCUGCCAUUUUAAUGGUUCCAUGUCAUCAGUGGUUAAAGGAAGAACAGCCACCGCGCACCUCAGGCCCCCGCCUUGGCCUCUUCACGUCAGGCCUCCCCACGUCCUGCUCUGCGGCAGGAACCCGGGCCUCUCCCCCUCGCUGCCCAGAAGCCACCCGAGGGUCCCUAUGGGGACACGCUCCCAUGGAGGACUUCCCCUUCCCGACCCUAACUCGAGCUAACGUGUUGUCGCAGGGCAGCUGCUCAGGAAAGAUCGAGGCUCGCAGGGCUGGCCUGGGCAGCCAUUCCCUCUCCACUCCCUACCACAGGGCCCUUGCUCAGGUCACCAGGCUCGUGACCCCUUCCCUUCCGCCACCACGUAAAGCUGCUGUCACAUGAGACACCCCGAGGCCUUCCCUGCCGGGCGAGGGUGAACAAGGCCCUUCCCUCCUCGCCACGAUACCUCACGGGCCCCUCGAUGUCCUGACCUACCUGCGGGAUGCGGGGACUCUCGGGGUCCCCCCUCCCCACCCCGGGGUC
rnacentral:lncRNA from 12 species